rnacentral:rRNA from 1 species
AAGAGACAGCAGCCGCCGCGGGAAUACGGAGGGGGCUAGCGUUGUUCGGAAUUACUGGGCGUAAAGCGUACGUAGGCGGCUUUGUAAGUUAGAGGUGAAAGCCUGGUGCUCAACACCAGAACUGCCUUUAAGACUGCAUCGCUUGAACGUCGGAGAGGUGAGUGGAAUUCCGAGUGUAGAGGUGAAAUUCGUAGAUAUUCGGAAGAACACCAGUGGCGAAGACGGCUCACUGGACGACUGUUGACGCUGAGGUACGAAAGCGUGGGGAGCAAACAGGAUUAGAUACCCCCGUAGUCCCUGUCUCUUAUAC